AGUGGUCCAACUGUGCCAGGGGCAUAGAAUGGGCCUCACUGGUCUUUCUCUUACAUAACAUAUCAUAACAUAACAUUCCAACUGUGCCAGGGGCGUAGAAUGGGCCUCGCUGGUCUUUCUCUCACAUAGUGCCAGGGGCGUAGAAUGGGCCUCACUGGUCUUCCGUACCGUAUCAUAUCAUACCAUAUCAUAUCAUGGGAGGGCUAAAGGAUCAUUCAACAUUCAUCCACAUCAUCAACAUAUUAUGCAAUGCAACAUAUUCGUGAAUUCUAAUGCAAACAACCUAAUAUAUCUCAUGGCAUUCAUGAUGCGUGAAUCAUGCUAAGAAUUAAUUUAUUUACUUUAAAACAUAAAGAGUUUAUUCCACUCACCUCUGGCUGAAGCUCUAUUGACUCUGAAGCGACCGACUCACUGCUGGGGUCCUCGGUUCCUCGGGUUCGAACCUACACAGGUGGACUCAAAUGAGGGACCAAGCAUCUAUGAUCAAGACUCUAAAAUACUCCCCAAAAACCCCC
rnacentral:lncRNA from 1 species